CAGAAAAGUCAGGACCCACGAAACAGCCAUCUGCACGUGCGAGGGGCUGGCAUCAACAGCCUACAACACAGCAUCUCUCCCAUCCUCUACAACUUGGUCACACAGAAAAAGAGAAUGUGCAUGAUAUCCUCAAAGGUCAAAGAACGUUAUCAGAUCUCUUGAAGACAGAAUUAUAGAUGAUUGUGAGCUAACCAAUGCAAGUAAUAGUUCUGGGAACACAACUCCAGUCCUCUGCUAGAGAAGUGAGUUCCCUUAACUGCUGUGUGAAAUCUGUCUAACUCAAGGAUGUUCUUGGACACGGUUAAAUGAAUGAAAUCAUGAGCCAAGAUUAACUUUCAGUCAUAAGUGACUACUGGAUGGCAGUUAUGCAAAAGUAACUAAUACAAGAAGCAAGAAAGGCAAGGAGGGAAGAAAAAGAGAGAUCAAAGAAAUCACUACAAUGAUUCACCACUUUUACAUUCAGAUUAAGGUAUCCAUGUAUCUCUCAAUCUCUCUAAAUUUUUAGACAAGACCUCAUGUAGUCCAGGCUAGUUUAAAACCCCUGCUCUACUGUAGCCAAGAAGACUGAGCUCCUAAUCCUCCUUUCUCUAAGUCCAAGGCGCACCAUCUCACCUGGUUUGUGUGUUUCAGAGUUCAAACGUUCUCCUAAAUACCAAGAACAACUUGCGCAUCAUACAGAAUCACUAAAGCAUGUAAAAUAAUCAGUACAAUUACUAAUAAAAAUAGACCGUUCCACAACCUUAUAACAGAAUCUGUGGAUGUGGAUGGAUAGAGGGCAAACAUUUCUAAAGCUGAACAUAUAGGCAGGUGCCUUCUAUUGAAAAGCACCCUAGGAAAAUAUACCUUUUUUCCAUCCAUAAACCUCUGCUUCUCCGUGAUGUUUAGAAUUUCCACAGGCACAUCAACUUCAGACCUUGACUCAUAAGAUAUGCUUCCAUCGUCAUUACUCACCACCCGCCCCUUGCGGCCAGUCAUCUGAAAAGCAAGCAUUAACACUGAGCUUUAAGAAGAGCAUGAAACAUGGAUGACACAAGUUGGUACUAGGACAAAAGAACAAAAUGAUCCAUGGCAACAUUACAAAAGCUGUACAGGAACCAGGCUCAAGCCAAACCUCAGGCACUGAGGACAGGCCUUCUGUAGCCAAACCUUGAGAACCCAAACAAAACAAGGUUCUAAGUUGUAUCCAGAACAGGACAUCCAUGUACAGGAUUUAAAAAGAGAAGAAAAUAAUAACAGGAAGGAGCAUAGCACUAACCACAUUUAUUUACCUCAGCCACAUUUUCAGGACCACCAAGUUCAUCAAUAAGUUCAUCCAAGGUGUUAGGAGGGAGGUCUUCAGCUAAUUUUUCUAGUUUAUCAAGCAGGUCUUUCUUCAUCUGCUGUGCCCUUUCCACAGCAUCCUGACUCGUUAUAAGGCUAUUGUUACUGUUGGUGUUACUGUUAGCUGAUAAAGAACAUUUGUUAAUCAAACUGUUAUACCUGAUUUCCAUUUCCAUUUCUAAAGUAGGACGUUCUGCACAGUACCUGGUGCACUGUUGGGAGCAGGUGAGACGACUGGUGCAGAGGAGAAACUAGGCCGCUUUGAACCAAGACCUGAUGCUAACAAGGCACUUUGAAUGGAAUCUGGAUCUAUACUUUUCUUCUUUUUCUUAUCUUUGUUUUUCUUGUGGUCUUUUCUAAUUAACCAAGGAU